UUUCACCAUAAAAUGGUGUCGUUUUAAGUUCCAUGCAUGCAUGUAUUUAGUAACAGUCUAACUUAAGUCCUAAGGGGUUGGGUCGUUACAGUGAGAUAAAAAGGAUUUUUUUUUUUCCAAAUCAUGCAGUGCAAAUUUAUUCGAAUCAAUCUCACAAAAAUCACUAUCGAGUAAAAAUUAGUUUUACUAAACGAUAACUUUAGAGUCUAAACUAUCAAGUAUCGAGUUUACUAUAUGAUAGUUACUCGUUGCUACACUUUCAAGUAUCAAGUCUAUGCGAUAGACUUCUUCUUCUACACGAUCGUUUGAUCGCAUACUCGAUCGUUUACCUCCUCCAUUCCUCUAUCCAAAAUCAAACAAAGCCUAUAACUCCUGGAUUCUCACACUGAUAAUACCAAGGCAACUUUAUUGUGGUGUCGAGUUCUGUUCGAGAAUCGAGGAUCGAGUUAUACUCGCUGGUGAUCGAGGAUCUUCUAGUUGCUCCUUUAGGUCGAGUUCUGAUCGUUGCGCUCGAGUUCUUCUUUGCACGCAUUGGAAACUGAUCGAGGUAAAUACGUGAAGAAAAGUUCUUCAAAGUUCUCGGGUGUUUCAGAGAUAGAACGAGGUGUUCAGAGUGAAAUGGUGCUAAAACAGACCAAAUUAGAGUUUAAAUGCAUCAAGGGAGAAAGAAGGUUGAGAAAUUACAAAAUUGCCUUUAGGGAAGAGCAUAUGCGCUCAAAGGUAGAAGUCUUCAAUUCUGGGACAAUGGGAAAGCGUAACGUUUCAAACUUUUGUAGAGUGCGCCUAAUCAAUAUGCGCAGCACUGUGCUUCAUCAAGGGGGCCUUCCAGCCUCAUGCGCUACGACACUUUGUGCAGUAUUAUAAAAGGAUAUUUUGCCUGAUUUUUCAUUUUAUCACACUUUUUUUUUUCAUUUUUGCUCCUGUUUUCUUCUCCUCUCCAUUAUAAACACUUAGUCUUUUCCAUUUUAGUCAUUUUGGAGCUUAAUCUUUUGUAUUUUGAGGAUGAUUAGAGCUAAAGGUAACUCUUCUAGCUUGGGUUUGAUAGUUUUUCCUUUUCUUAGACUAAUUGUGAGACUUGUUCUCCAUUAUACAUUGUUUAAACUCUUGUUUAAGGAUUUCUACUCUGAAUUCUCUA